GACGAACGCUGGCGGCGUGCUUAACACAUGCAAGUCGAACGGAAAGGCCCUGCUUUUGUGGGGUGCUCGAGUGGCGAACGGGUGAGUAACACGUGAGUAACCUGCCCUUGACUUUGGGAUAACUUCAGGAAACUGGGGCUAAUACCGGAUAGGAGCUCCUGCUGCAUGGUGGGGGUUGGAAAGUUUCGGCGGUUGGGGAUGGACUCGCGGCUUAUCAGCUUGUUGGUGGGGUAGUGGCUUACCAAGGCUUUGACGGGUAGCCGGCCUGAGCGGGUGACCGGACAAGUUGGGACUGAGACACGGCCCGGACGCGUAGGGGGGGCAACAGUGGGGAAGAUGGCGCGAGGGGCGGAAGUCUGAUGCAGUAACGCAGGGUGCGGGGUGACGGCCUUCGGGUUGUAAAACGCUUGCGCCUGUGACGAAGCGUGAGUGACGGGAAUGGGUAAAGAAGCAACGGCUCACUACGUG
rnacentral:rRNA from 1 species